AUUGAACGCUGGCGGCAGGCCUAACACAUGCAAGUCGAACGGUAACAGGAAACAGCUUGCUGUUUCGCUGACGAGUGGCGGACGGGUGAGUAAUGUCUGGGAAACUGCCUGAUGGAGGGGGAUAACUACUGGAAACGGUAGCUAAUACCGCAUAACGUCGCAAGACCAAAGAGGGGGAGCUUCGGGCCUCUUGCCAUCGGAUGUGCCCAGAUGGGAUUAGCUAGUAGGUGGGGUAACGGCUCACCUAGGCGACGAUCCCUAGCUGGUCUGAGAGGAUGACCAGCCACACUGGAACUGAGACACGGUCCAGACUCCUACGGGAGGCAGCAGUGGGGAAUAUUGCACAAUGGGCGCAAGCCUGAUGCAGCCAUGCCGCGUGUAUGAAGAAGGCCUUCGGGUUGUAAAGUACUUUCAGCGGGGAUGAAGGGAGUAAAGUUAAUACCUUUGCUCAUUGACGUUACCCGCAGAAGAAGCACCGGCUAACUCCGUG
rnacentral:rRNA from 1 species